rnacentral:rRNA from 1 species
GGACCCGCACAAGUAGUGGAGCAUGUGGUUUAAUUCGAAGAUACGCGCAGAACCUUACCAACACUUGACAUGUUCGUCGCGACUUUAAGAGAUUAAAGUUUUCGGUUCGGCCGGACGAAACACAGGUGCUGCAUGGCUGUCGUCAGCUCGUGUCGUGAGAUGUUGGUUAAGUCCCGCAACGAGCGCAACCCUCACUUUUAGUUGCCAUCAUUAAGUUGGGCACUCUGAAAGAACUGCCAGUGAUAAGCGGGAGGAAGGUGUGGAUGACGUCAAGUCCUCAUGGCCCUUACGGGUUGGGCUACACACGUGCUACAAUGGCUAGGACAGACGGCUGCAAACCAGCGAUGGGAGCU